UACAGAGGGUGCGAGCGUUAACGGAAUUACUGGGCGUAAAGCGUGCGUAGACGGCUAUCUAAGUCGGGUGUGAAAGCCCCGGGCUCAACCUGGGAAUUGCAUUCGAGACUGAAUAGCUAGGGUACGGUAGAGGGAAGUGGAAUUCCAGGUGUAGCGGUGGAAUGCGUAGAGAUCGGGAAGACACCAGUGGCGAAGGCGACGUGCUGGGUUGCGACUGACGCUGGAGAUGCGAAAGUGUGGGGAGCAAACGGG
rnacentral:rRNA from 1 species